UACAGCGCACGCGCAGGAGUAAGGAAAGCGGGGUGCGCUGCGACGCGCCCUGCCCUGCCCGGGGUCGGAGAACAGGACCUAGCCGCCCCUCAACGCCUCCCCUCCCCCGUGACCAAGCCCAGCUGUGGGGGCGGGGCCUGCAGGUGCAAGCAGCGCGCGGGCCGCCUGGCCGCCCCUGACCGUAGGAGGCGGAGGGGUCCUACUGGCCACUUCCCGGGAGCCGCCCCAGUGAAUGCUGCUUGGACCUUGCCCCUACACCCAGCAGGUCCCUCCGCCUCCUAGGGUCAGGGGCGGCCAGGGGGCUCAGCACGCCCCUGGUUGGUUGUGGUGCCCCGCAAAUGGGAGCUGCGGAGCUGGUGCUUGUGGCGGGCACAGCACGUGGAGACCCCCUCCCCCCUCCGGCUGCCCAACCCUAGGGGCCAGAGGGACCUGCUGGCUGCUUCCUGGGAGCCACCCCAGGGGAUGGAGGUGAAGUGAUACAACAGGGAGCAGCAGCACCACCUGAAAGCAAAGGAACUCUGGCAGGCAUAUACUAUAAGGGCAGGUUAGACCAUUGGCUAACAAUCGAGCUGGUGCUGAGCCACAAACCUGCUGCUUUUACAAUGAGCUGCAUGCCAUACUUGGUAGAGAUACAACCCCCCACCCCCAGCAUUAUGGAUACCUCUCGGGAGCCUCAGACACAGCUCUCUACUGUUAACAGUGAAGACAAGGAGAGGGAAACAUGGGGGAGGACUAGCUAUGCCUCAAGUCAGGAGCUUUUCAAAACUCCACUGCAGUCUAGCCUGUCCACCAGCCAAGCAUGGAUGAGCCUACAGAAGGGAAAAGGAAUGUCAGCCGCUGCUGUUGCGGCCUUGAGAGGUCCCCCUCCACACCUGUGAAAUGCCUGACCUUGAUGAGGGAAGAGAAAGAAGUGGACUAAGGAGGACGCGUUGUCAGCAAAAUCCUGCAAGCCAGUGACGCAUCGGACUGUGAAAAGAGGGCCUGGAGGGUGAAUAUGGCAGACAGCAUGGAGAAAGACUCAGGAAAAGACCCAGCAGGAAAAAGAGACAGAGAUGCACCAGGACACAAUGCAGAUUCUUAAGCUGCAAACACAAAUGCUGCAGACUCUUGUUGACCUACAGGCAGAGGCAAUACUAGAAUAACUAGUUUGGGGAAGUGAAGGGGUGGUGAAUACAAUUAUUGGGGGAGCAAGAAUUUUGCUACACAUACUUCAUAGAAUGGGGAUAAAUAAUAUUGGUAACAAUUUGUUUACCUUAUUGAAACUCAGUACGCUUGUGAGCAGCAACAAAUGUCGACAACUUUUUUCAGUACCAAUGCCAGCCAAGUUCCUUAACCAGUCACUUGUCAUGCGGUUCCUUGGGUAAUCUUUCACCCGUGAAAGGCAUGAGAAUGUUCUUUCACGUGUAGCACUUGAUGGAGGAGUACUCACAUGAGUCACAAAUAAUUUACUCAGUCCGUGAAAGACAAGUUUGUAUUUAUCAAAACAAUUAGCAGCUGCAACAAACCGUCAAUCUUUGAUUUCUUCAUAGAAUUCAAUUACUUUUGACAAGAGUUUUACUUUGGUCUAUAUUGCAUCCAUAGUAUUCUGCAAGUGGUUUUAAUUUUAGGACAGUCAAGAAAGUUAUCGGACUUUGGAUUAAGGUAAUUGAUACCAACAAGAACAGAUUUAUUUUCAGAAAAGCUUUGCAGUUCUUUUUCAAGCAAUGGCAAAAAGGCAUGUUUCCUGAAGUCUAUCUAAAAAUGUUCUCCACGUCACACUUCUUCAGUCCACAUGUAUUCCUGAUGGCUUUUAGGCAACUUUCGUACAUGACUGUGUAGUCCCCAAACUUCAGGCAGCUUCAGACCAUUUUCUGAUGCUAUGUUAACAGCUUCACUCCAUAUUUCAUCAAAUGCCUCUUCCAAAUCUCUCAUGUUCAGAAAUUCACUGAUUAGGGUGUCCACAGAAAAGCAUGCCUGAGACAAGUCAUAGUCCUGCUUGCAAAUAGUCAGAGAUAACUUUAAGCAGUUGAAGUAUUUUUGUGAACCUGCAAAGGAGGACAACAAACUCAGUCUGAUACUGAA